rnacentral:rRNA from 1 species
AGUGAACGCUGGCGGUAGGCCUAACACAUGCAAGUCGAACGGCAGCACAGUAAGAGCUUGCUCUUACGGGUGGCGAGUGGCGGACGGGUGAGGAAUACAUCGGAAUCUACUUUUUCGUGGGGGAUAACGUAGGGAAACUUACGCUAAUACCGCAUACGACCUACGGGUGAAAGCAGGGGAUCUUCGGACCUUGCGCGAUUGAUUGAGCCGAUGUCGGAUUAGCUAGUUGGCGGGGUAAAGGCCCACCAAGUCGACGAUCCGUAGCUGGUCUGAGAGGAUGAUCAGCCACACUGGAACUGAGACACGGUCCAGACUCCUACGGGAGGCAGCAGUGGGGAAUAUUGGACAAUGGGCGCAAGCCUGAUCCAGCCAUACCGCGUGGGUGAAGAAGGCCUUCGGGUUGUAAAGCCCUUUUGUUGGGAAAGAAAAGCAGCAGGUUAAUACCCCGCUGUUCUGACGGUACCCAAAGAAUAAGCACCGGCUAACUUCGUG